UUAAGCGACUAAGCGUACACGGUGGAUGCCCUGGCAGUCAGAGGCGAUGAAGGACGUGCUAAUCUGCGAAAAGCGUCGGUAAGGUGAUAUGAACCGUUAUAGCCGGCGAUGUCCGAAUGGGGAAACCCAGUGUGAUUCGUCACACUAUCGUUAACUGAAUACAUAGGUUAACGAGGCGAACCGGGGGAACUGAAACAUCUAAGUACCCCGAGGAAAAGAAAUCAACCGAGAUUCCCCCAGUAGCGGCGAGCGAACGGGGAGCAGCCCAGAGUCUGAAUCAGCUUGUGUAUUAGUGGAACGGUCUGGAAAGUCCGACGGUACAGGGUGAUAGUCCCGUACACCAAAAUGCACAGGCUGUGAACUCGAAGAGUAGGGCGGGACACGUGGUAUCCUGUCUGAAUAUGGGGGGACCAUCCUCCAAGGCUAAAUACUCCUGACUGACCGAUAGUAAACCAGUACCGUGAGGGAAAGGCGAAAAGAACCCCGGCGAGGGGAGUGAAAAAGAACCUGAAACCGUGUACGUACAAGCAGUGGGAGCACCUUCGGGUGUGACUGCGUACCUUUUGUAUAAUGGGUCAGCGACUUAUAUUCUGUAGCAAGGUUAACCGUAUAGGGGAGCCGCAGGGAAACCGAGUCUUAACUGGGCGUUAAGUUGCAGGGUAUAGACCCGAAACCCGGUGAUCUAGCCAUGGGCAGGUUGAAGGUUGGGUAACACUAACUGGAGGACCGAACCGACUAAUGUUGAAAAAUUAGCGGAUGACUUGUGGCUGGGGGUGAAAGGCCAAUCAAACCGGGAGAUAGCUGGUUCUCCCCGAAAGCUAUUUAGGUAGCGCCUCGUGAAUUCAUCUUCGGGGGUAGAGCACUGUUUCGGCUAGGGGGUCAUCCCGACUUACCAACCCGAUGCAAACUACGAAUACCGAAGAAUGUUAUCACGGGAGACACACGGCGGGUGCUAACGUCCGUCGUGAAGAGGGAAACAACCCAGACCGCCAGCUAAGGUCCCAAAGUCAUGGUUAAGUGGGAAACGAUGUGGGAAGGCACAGACAGCCAGGAUGUUGGCUUAGAAGCAGCCAUCAUUUAAAGAAAGCGUAAUAGCUCACUGGUCGAGUCGGCCUGCGCGGAAGAUGUAACGGGGCUAAACCAUGCACCGAAGCUGCGGCAGCGACACUAUGUGUUGUUGGGUAGGGGAGCGUUCUGUAAGCCUGCGAAGGUGACCUGUGAGGGUUGCUGGAGGUAUCAGAAGUGCGAAUGCUGACAUAAGUAACGAUAAAGCGGGUGAAAAGCCCGCUCGCCGGAAGACCAAGGGUUCCUGUCCAACGUUAAUCGGGGCAGGGUGAGUCGACCCCUAAGGCGAGGCCGAAAGGCGUAGUCGAUGGGAAACAGGUUAAUAUUCCUGUACUUGGUGUUACUGCGAAGGGGGGACGGAGAAGGCUAUGUUAGCCGGGCGACGGUUGUCCCGGUUUAAGCAUGUAGGCUGGUUGUCCAGGCAAAUCCGGAUAAUCAAGGCUGAGGUGUGAUGACGAGGUACUACGGUGCUGAAGUAACAAAUGCCCUGCUUCCAGGAAAAGCCUCUAAGCAUCAGGUAACAUCAAAUCGUACCCCAAACCGACACAGGUGGUCAGGUAGAGAAUACCAAGGCGCUUGAGAGAACUCGGGUGAAGGAACUAGGCAAAAUGGUGCCGUAACUUCGGGAGAAGGCACGCUGGUGUAGGUGAAGUCCCUGCGGAUGGAGCUGAGACCAGUCGAAGAUACCAGCUGGCUGCAACUGUUUAUUAAAAACACAGCACUGUGCAAACACGAAAGUGGACGUAUACGGUGUGACGCCUGCCCGGUGCCGGAAGGUUAAUUGAUGGGGUUAUCCGUAAGGAGAAGCUCUUGAUCGAAGCCCCGGUAAACGGCGGCCGUAACUAUAACGGUCCUAAGGUAGCGAAAUUCCUUGUCGGGUAAGUUCCGACCUGCACGAAUGGCGUAAUGAUGGCGCUGUCUCCACCCGAGACUCAGUGAAAUUGAACUCGCUGUGAAGAUGCAGUGUACCCGCGGCAAGACGGAAAGACCCCGUGAACCUUUACUAUAGCUUGACACUGAACAUUGAGCCUUGAUGUGUAGGAUAGGUGGGAGGCUUUGAAGCGUGGACGCCAGUCUGCGUGGAGCCAACCUUGAAAUACCACCCUUUAAUGUUUGAUGUUCUAACGUUGGCCCCUGACCGGGGUUGCGGACAGUGUCUGGUGGGUAGUUUGACUGGGGCGGUCUCCUCCCAAAGCGUAACGGAGGAGCACGAAGGUUAGCUAAUCCUGGUCGGACAUCAGGAGGUUAGUGCAAUGGCAUAAGCUAGCUUGACUGCGAGCGUGACGGCGCGAGCAGGUGCGAAAGCAGGUCAUAGUGAUCCGGUGGUUCUGAAUGGAAGGGCCAUCGCUCAACGGAUAAAAGGUACUCCGGGGAUAACAGGCUGAUACCGCCCAAGAGUUCAUAUCGACGGCGGUGUUUGGCACCUCGAUGUCGGCUCAUCACAUCCUGGGGCUGAAGUAGGUCCCAAGGGUAUGGCUGUUCGCCAUUUAAAGUGGUACGCGAGCUGGGUUUAGAACGUCGUGAGACAGUUCGGUCCCUAUCUGCCGUGGGCGCUGGAGAAUUGAGGGGGGCUGCUCCUAGUACGAGAGGACCGGAGUGGACGCAUCACUGGUGUUCGGGUUGUCAUGCCAAUGGCACUGCCCGGUAGCUAAAUGCGGAAGAGAUAAGUGCUGAAAGCAUCUAAGCACGAAACUUGCCCCGAGAUGAGUUCUCCCUGAGACUUUAAGUCUCCUGAAGGAACGUUGAAGACGACGACGUUGAUAGGCCGGGUGUGUAAGCGCAGCGAUGCGUUGAGCUAACCGGUACUAAUGAACCGUGAGGCUUAACCU
rnacentral:rRNA from 1 species